AAGAAAUUAGUUUAAAAAAAACAUUAACUUGUCAAGUUAAAAAUAUAUUUUCCAUAUUUCUUA
rnacentral:tRNA from 1 species